rnacentral:sRNA from 1 species
UAUCUUACGAAAAUAAUUUAGUUAACAUAUAUGCAUUUUUGAAUUAAACAUACAAUAUAUUUGCAUGUUUAAAGAUAUUCCUAUAUUUUAGUAGUUGUUAAUUUACUAAAUUACCCAUGCAAAAAUUUAUUUACUUAGUUUUAAACUACCCUUACAAUGUUGUAGUUCACAAAAUGCUUCCUAAUUAAUAGUAUAGAUAAUUGUAUUUUGAUUGUUAUAUCUACCCUUACUAAUGGAUUCGAGUCUAUAACCAUGGGUUCCAGUGCACGAGAUCUUGUAGACCAUAGCAUGUUACAUGAGGAAAAAAAAAACUUGUAGUUGUCACAUAGCUGCCCACCAGGUAUAACUUCUCGUAUUACAAUAGACCCAAACUCGUCUUACCACCUAAUCCCGUUCAGUCAAACUAAACAUAUCUAAUGAAGUUCACAUGUGGUAUACAGUCUCGUAUUACUGACUCAAACCCGUCCUACAAUCUAACGCCGUUAAGUGAAAUUAAACAUCUUUUUUUUUGUUAUUUUUGUUUUAAUAAUAUUUUAAUUUAAAAGAUAUAUAAUUCAAAUUU